UUGAAACAUUGUAAAGAAAGGUUGAGCUGGCUCUUCUAGGGCAAGUGCUCUCGCCUAUCUUUUCGAUAUUCAUCCACCUGUGCACUUUUUGUAGAGAGCUCGAGAAAGUGGACCUUUUUUUGAAGGUCUUUGAGUAUCGGGCUUUUCUAUGUCUUUAUUCACUCUGAAUGUAUGUUUUUGAAUGUCUUUUACAAGGGGACUUGAUUGGACCCUUUUAAAAACUAUA
rnacentral:misc_RNA from 1 species